rnacentral:rRNA from 1 species
UACAGAGGGUGCAAGCGUUGUUCGGAAUUACUGGGCGUAAAGCGCGCGUAGGCGGGAUGGCAAGUCGGGUGUGAAAGCCCUCGGCUCAACCGAGGAAGUGCACUCGAAACUCCCGGUCUAGAGUGACGGAGAGGAAAGCGGAAUUCCCGGUGUAGAGGUGAAAUUCGUAGAUAUCGGGAGGAACACCAGAGGCGAAGGCGGCUUUCUGGACGAAAACUGACGCUGAGGCACGAAAGCUAGGGGAGCAAACAGG